rnacentral:rRNA from 1 species
AGCAGCCGCGGUAAUUCCAGCUCCAAUAGCGUAUAUUAAAGUUGUUGCAGUUAAAAAGCUCGUAGUUGAAUCUCGGGAUCAUCAGGUUGGUCGUGCCUCUGGUAUGUACUGAUUUCGAUGGUUCCUCCUUCUUGAAGAUCCGUAAUGCCAUUAAUUUGGUGUUGCGGGGAAUCAGGACUGUUACUUUGAAAAAUUAGAGUGUUUAAAGCAGGCUUACGCUUGAAUACAUUAGCAUGGAAUAAUGAAAUAGGACGUUCGAUCCUAUUUUGUUGGUUUCUAGGAUUGACGUAAUGAUUAAUAGGGAUAGUUGGGGGCAUUAGUAUUCAAUUGUCAGAGGUGAAAUUCUUGGAUUUAUUGAAGACUAACUACUGCGAAAGCAUUUGCCAAGGAUGUUUUCAUUAAUCAAGAACGAAAGUUAGGGGAUCGAAGACGAUCAGAUACCGUCGUAGUCUUAACCAUAAACUAUGCCGACUAGGGAUCGGAUGAUGUUAAUUUUUAAUGA